CAGUCGCCGCGGGAACACGUAGGUGGCAAGCGUUGUCCGGAAUUAUUGGGCGUAAAGGGCUCGCAGGCGGUUUCUUAAGUCUGAUGUGAAAGCCCCCGGCUCAACCGGGGAGGGUCAUUGGAAACUGGGAAACUUGAGUGCAGAAGAGGAGAGUGGAAUUCCACGUGUAGCGGUGAAAUGCGUAGAGAUGUGGGGGAACACCAGUGGCGAAGGCGACUCUCUGGUCUGUAACUGACGCUGAGGAGCGAAAGCGUGGGGAGCGAACAGGAUUAGAUACCCCCGUAGUCCCUGUCUCUUAUAC
rnacentral:rRNA from 1 species